UACGUAGGGUGCAAGCGUUGUCCGGAAUUACUGGGUGUAAAGGGUCCGCAGGCGGGCAAGCAAGUCGGUGGUGAAAUCCCUCCGCUCAACGGAGGAACUGCCUCCGAUACUGCUUGUCUUGAGUUCGAGAGAGGAUGAUGGAAUUCAUGGUGUAGCGGUGAAAUGCGUAGAGAUCAUGAAGAACACCGGUAGCGAAGGCGAUCAUCUGGCUCGAUACUGACGCUCAGGGACGAAAGCGUGGGGAG
rnacentral:rRNA from 1 species